rnacentral:rRNA from 1 species
UACGUAGGCAGCGAGCGUUGUUCGGAAUUACUGGGCGUAAAGAGUGUGUAGGCGGUGCUCUAAGUUCGGUGUGAAAUCUCCUGGCUCAACUGGGAGGGUGCGCCGGAAACUGGAGUGCUUGAGCGUGGGAGAGGAAAGCGGAAUUCCUGGUGUAGCGGUGAAAUGCGUAGAUAUCAGGAGGAACACCUGUGGCGAAGGCGGUCUGCUGGGCCAAGACUGACGCUGAGGCGCGACAGCGUGGGGAGCAAACAGG